UCAUAAUGGCCAUACGGCCUGGGCAACACACAGCUACAAUGGACGGUACAAAGGGUUGCCAAGCCGCGAGGUGGAGCUAAUCCCAUAAAACCGAUCGUAGUCCGGAUCGCAGUCUGCAACUCGACUGCGUGAAGUCGGAAUCGCUAGUAAUCGUGAAUCAGAAUGUCACGGUGAAUACGUUCCCGGGCCUUGUACACACCGCCCGUCACACCAUGGGAGUGGGUUGCUCCAGAAGUAGCUAGUCUAACCUUCGGGGGGACGGUUACCACGGAGUGAUUCAUGACUGGGGUGAAGUCGAACAAGAGCCAUUCCA
rnacentral:rRNA from 1 species